ACCAGACUCCUACGGGAGGCAGCAGUGGGGAAUAUUGGACAAUGGGGGGAACCCUGAUCCAGCGACGCCGCGUGAGUGAAGAAGUAUUUCGGUAUGUAAAGCUCUAUCAGCAGGGAAGAAAAUGACGGUACCUGAGUAAGAAGCCCCGGCUAACUACGUGCCAGCAGCCGCGGUAAUACGUAGGGGGCAAGCGUUAUCCGGAUUUACUGGGUGUAAAGGGAGCGUAGGCGGCAGGGCAAGCCUGAUGUGAAAGCCCGGGGCUCAACCCCGGGACUGCAUUGGGAACUGCCCCGCUCGAGUGCCGGAGGGGCAGGCGGAAUUCCUAGUGUAGCGGUGAAAUGCGUAGAUAUUAGGAGGAACACCAGUGGCGAAGGCGGCCUGCUGGACGGUGUACUGACGCUGAGGCUCGAAAGCGUGGGGAGCAAACAGGAUUAGAUACCCUGGUAC
rnacentral:rRNA from 1 species